AGCCGACCUGAGAGGGUGACCGGCCACAUUGGGACUGAGACACGGCCCAAACUCCUUCGGGAGGCAGCCGUGGGGAAUUUUGCACAAUGGGGGAAACCCUGAUGCCGCGACGCCGCGUGAGCGAAGAAGUAUUUCGGUAUGUAAAACUCUAUCAGCAGGGAAGAAGAAUGACGGUACCUGACUAAGAAGCACCGGCUAAAU
rnacentral:rRNA from 1 species